rnacentral:rRNA from 1 species
UAUGUUCAAGAUUAGCCAUGCAUGUCUCAGUAUAAGCUUCUAUACGGCGAAACUGCGAAUGGCUCAUUAAAACAGUUAUAGUUUAUUUGGUGGUCAGCAAUUACAUGGAUAACCGUGGUAAUUCUAGAGCUAAUACAUGCGCCCAAACCCGACUUCGUGGAAGGGUUGUGUUUAUUAGAUACAGAACCAACCCAGGCUCCGCCUGGCCUUGAGGUGAUUCAUAAUAACCGAACGAAUCGCAUGGCUAUGCCGGCGAUAGACCAUUCAAGUUUCUGACCUAUCAGCUAUCGUCGGUAGGGUAUUGGCCUACCGUGGCAAUGACGGGUAACGGAGAAUUAGGGUUCGAUUCCGGAGAGGGAGCCUGAGAAACGGCUACCACAUCUAAGGAAGGCAGCAGGCGCGCAAAUUACCCAAUCCUGACGCAGGGAGGUAGUGACAAGAAAUAACAAUACAGGGCAUACAUGUCUUGUAAUUGGAAUGAGUAAACUUUAAAUCACUUU